GACGGAAUGCCACGUUAAAGCACAAAGGUAUAUCUCAGAUAGUUAAAUGCGUUUGAGAUGCUGAAGUGCGACAGUACGGUGAACCCUCGGGGGGUCCGAUAGUGCCUGAAAGCAAGCUGCCUAGAAAAGCCUCUAAACGUUGAAGCCAAGCCGCUCGUACCGCAAACCGACACAGGUAGUCGAGGAGAGUAUCCACAGGCGCUCGGAUGAGUCACAGUUAAGGAACUCGGCAAAAUCGCCCUGUAACUUCGGGAGAAGGGGCGCCAUCGCAAGAUGGCCGCAGUGAAGAGGCCCAAGCGACUGUUUAGCAAAAACACAGGGCUCUGCAAAGACGAAAGUCAAAGUAUAGGGCCUGACACCUGCCCGGUGCUGGAAGGUUAAGGGGGGGAGUGCAAGCUCUGAACCGAAGCCCCAGUAAACGGCGGCCGUAACUAUAACGGUCCUAAGGUAGCGAAAUUCCUUGUCGGGUAAGUUCCGACCUGCACGAAUGGUGUAACGACUUGGGCGCUGUCUCAACUGUGAGUCCGGUGAAAUUGUAGUACCGGUGAAGAUGCCGGUUACCCGCUACGGGACGAAAAGACCCCGUGAACCUUCACUAUAGCUUGCCAUUGGGAUCGUGUACGACAUGUGUAGGAUAGGUGGGAGGCUGCGAAGGGGGUACGCUAGUAUCUCUGGAGCCAACGUUGAAAUACCACUCUUGUCGUAUGUGGUUUCUAACCUGUUUAUUCAGGGACCGUGGCUGGUGGGUAGUUUGACUGGGGUGGUCGCCUCCAAAAGUGUAUCGGAGGCUUUCAAAGGUACCCUCAGCACGCUUGGCAACCGUGCGAUGAGCGCAAUGGCAUAAGGGUGCUUGACAGUGAGACCUACAAGUCGAGCUGGGACGAAAGUCGGACAUAGUGAUCCGGUGGUUCUGAAUGGAAGGGCCAUCGUUCAAAGGAUAAAAGGUACUCCGGGGAUAACAGGCUGAUCUCCCCCGAGAGCUCACAUCGACGGGGGGGUUUGGCACCUCGAUGUCGGCUCGUCACAUCCUGGGGCUGGAGAAGGUCCCAAGGGUUCGGCUGUUCGCCGAUUAAAGUGGCACGCGAGCUGGGUUCAGAACGUUGCGAGACAGUUCGGCCUCUAUCUGUAGUGGGCGUAGGAAAAUUGAGUGGACUUGACCUUAGUACGAGAGGACCGGGUUGAACGAACCGCUGGUGAACCUGCUGUAUCGCCAGAAGCAUCGCAGGGUAGCUACGUUCGGAAGGGAUAAGCGCCAAAAAAAAAAAGGAGAAAGAGCGACAGGCAAG
rnacentral:rRNA from 1 species